CGGUUAUUGCCUCAGUAGCGGCGAGUGAAGCGGCAAAAGCUCAAAUUUGAAAUCUGGCGUCUUUGGCGUCCGAGUUGUAAUUUGAAGAAGGUAUCUUUGGGCCCGGCUCUUGUCUAUGUUCCUUGGAACAGGACGUCACAGAGGGUGAGAAUCCCGUGCGAUGAGAUGACCCGGGUCUGUGUAAAGUUCCUUCGACGAGUCGAGUUGUUUGGGAAUGCAGCUCUAAGUGGGUGGUAAAUUCCAUCUAAAGCUAAAUAUUGGCGAGAGACCGAUAGCGAACAAGUACAGUGAUGGAAAGAUGAAAAGAACUUUGAAAAGAGAGUGAAAAAGUACGUGAAAUUGUUGAAAGGGAAGGGCUUGAGAUCAGACUUGGUAUUUUGCAUGCUGCUCUCUCGGGGGCGGCCGCUGCGGUUUACCGGGCCAGCAUCGGUUUGGAGCGGCAGGAUAAUGGCGGAGGAAUGUGGCACGGCUUCUGCUGUGUGUUAUAGCCUCUGACGAUACUGCCAGCCUAGACCGAGGACUGCGGUUUUUACCUAGGAUGUUGGCAUAAUGAUCUUAAGUCGCCCGUCUUAAACACACCCGGACAACCA
rnacentral:rRNA from 1 species